rnacentral:rRNA from 1 species
AUCUUUAAAAUUAAAAAAUUUGGCGGUAUUUUAGUCUUUUCAGAGGAACCUGUUUUUUAAUUGAUAGUCCACGAUAAUUUGUACCUUUUUUUUUAAUUUAUAUAUCGUUGUUGGUAAGGAUUUUAGGAUAUAAUUUUUUCAGAUCAAGGUGUAGUUUAUAAAAAGGUAAAAAUGGGUUACAUUAAAAAUUUUAAUUAAAUUGGAUUUGGAAGUAAGCUCUAGAAUAUGUACAUAUUGCCCGUCGCUUUCAUUUAAGGUGAAAUAAGUCGUAACAAAGUAGACCUAUUGGAAAAUGGGUCUGGAAUGCAAAUUAGAGCUUGACAAGCGUUUUAUUUACAUUAAAGGGAUAGUUAAAUAACUUGAUUUGAUUAGAUUCUUUUAUAAAGAUUUUUUUUUUUUUUUUUGUAAAAUAAAAAAUUUUGGGUAAUUUUGGGUAAAAAUUUUAUUAUAGAUUAUAGUCUGGAUAAGGAAUAGGGGUUUAUUUUGGAAGGAGGAUUUAUUUCGUACCUUUGGUAUCAGGGUUGAUUAAUUUAUUUUUCCCGAAAGAAAAGGAUUUAGUUUUAAUGUUGAAUUAUUAUUUAUAAAUUUUUCUUUGAAAUGAAACGUUAUUCGUUUUUUCUGAUAUCUGGUUUUCAAAGUGUUAAAUUUAAUUAAUUUGAAUUUAUAAAUAUUUUUAAGGGAUAAGCUUUUGGAAUUUUAAUAUUUUUUGUUUUUGUUAUAAUAAGUAGGAUUGGAAUUUUCUUUUUUUUGGAGUGUUUUUUAAUUUAUUUUAUUUUGGAAUUUGAAUUUUUGUAUUAUUUUUUUUUAUUUAGUAAUAAUGGUUGAAUUAGUAAGAUUAUUUUAAGGAAUUCGGCAAUUAAAAUUUUCACCUGUUUAUUAAAAACAUGUCUUUUUGAAUAUUAUUUAAAGUCAGGCCUGCCCAGUGAUUAAAUGGCCGCAGUAUAUUGACUGUGCAAAGGUAGCAUAAUCAUUAGUUUCUUAAUUGGAAGCUUGUAUGAAUGGUUAAAUGAGAAAUUUUCUGUCUCUAUAAUUUAAAUUUUUAGUGAGAAUGCUUAAAUUAAAUAAAAAGACGAGAAGACCCUAUAGAGUUUUUUGGUUGGGGUGACUAAAAAAUUUAUUUAACUUUUUUUUUUAAUGGAUAAUUGAUCCUGGAUUAAAAGAUAAAAUUACCUUAGGGAUAACAGCGUAAUUCUUUUUUGG